UACAGAGGUGCCAAGCGUUAGGCGGAAUCACUGGGCUUAAAGCGCGUGUAGGUGGGUCGUUAAGUGUCCGCGUGAAAUCCCACGGCUCAACCGUGGAACUGCCGGGCAUACUGGCGAUCUUGAGGCAUUCAGGGGCGAGCGGAACAGACGGUGGAGCGGUUAAAUGCGUAGAUAUCGUCUGGAACGCCAAUUGUGAAAACAGCUCGCUGGGAAUGAUCUGACACUGAGACGCGAAAGCCAGGGGAGCGAACGGG
rnacentral:rRNA from 1 species